GGAGUACUUCCUGUUUAUUAAUUAUUUAUUGAUUGCAUGUUUAUACCACCCCUCCCAAUUUGGCCCAGGGCGGUUCCUUGCAGCUUGGGAAAGAGGUCUAGGAAAAGGAGAUGGGGGCAGAGGCGUUCUUACCCCUGGACUUCCAGGCAGAAGACUUCUGGGCAGAAGUCCAGGGCCUCCACCACUGUUCUCUCUAAGAGGAUUCCGAGAUGUUGGAAACUCCCAGAAUCCCCAGCUGCAGUGGCUUUUGCUUGGGGAUUAUGGGAGUUGUAGUCAACAACAUCUCGGAAUCCCUCUUAGAGGGAACACUGGCCUUCACACCCCCUGGGGCCCCCCAAAUCCUCUUUAUUCUGUCCUGGGUGGUGUGGUCGCUGGGCUGCUGUGCUGCUGAGCAUGACUGUGACCUGUGCCAGGUGGCACAGGCUGCUUUAGAGACAGUGGGAUACUCUCCCUUGGGUAUUAUUUUCCACACAAAUAGAUGAAUGAAUUCACAAGGCAACUGUGAUGUGCUGGAAAAAAUGUGUGGCGGAAAUCUCGCGAGACUUCACGAGCAGGACAGUAAAUAGCAAUGGCAGCCAGUGGAGCCGUGCUGGUGAGCGGAGGCAGCUGGCAGGCGGAGGCAUACCGGCAGGCAGAGGAGGCCGGCCGGCGGAGGAGCCCGGUGGGAGGAGGUGCCUGGCCAGCGGAGCCAAGCC